rnacentral:rRNA from 1 species
GAUGAACGCUGGCGGCGUGCCUAAUACGUGCCAGUAGAACGCUGAAGAAGGAGCUUGCUCUUCUGGAUGAGUUGCGAACGGGUGAGUAACGCGUAGGUAACCUGCCUGGUAGCGGGGGAUAACUAUUGGAAACGAUAGCUAAUACCGCAUGACAACAGUUAUUGCAUGAUAACUGUUUAAAAGGGGCAACUGCUCCACUACCAGAUGGACCUGCGUUGUAUUAGCUAGUUGGUGAGGUAACGGCUCACCAAGGCGACGAUACAUAGCCGACCUGAGAGGGUGAUCGGCCACACUGGGACUGAGACACGGCCCAGACUCCUACGGGAGGCAGCAGUAGGGAAUCUUCGGCAAUGGACGGAAGUCUGACCGAGCAACGCCGCGUGAGUGAAGAAGGUUUUCGGAUCGUAAAGCUCUGUUGUAAGAGAAGAACGAGUGUGAGAGUGGAAAGUUCACACUGUGACGGUAUCUUACCAGAAAGGGACGGCUAACUACGUG